AAUUGGCACAUAUUUUAUUUUUACAAAUUGAAAUAUUACAAUUUUUGCAUAAUUUUAAUGAUGUAAUGGAGGUCAAGCAUAAGGUACAAAAAAUAUCGACUUUCAAUCACUUUUGUAAUAUGUAUGUACAUUUUGCAGAUGACCUAUCUUUUUAAAUGGAAACCUUUUGUUUUAUACAUAUCGAAAUCUCUCAUCAUUCUAUGAAAAAAAAGUAUUACGAUAAUACGGUCGAAAAUUGAUUAGUUUAAAAGAUAUUUUAGCUUUAAUUUUGUAGAAUAUCAUAUGAAAACAAGGGAAAACGAAACACAGUACUUUUGUGUUUAUGUUUUGUUUGUCUUACGUAUGAUAAAUUCCACAAAAUUAAAGUUAGAAUAUCUUUUAAAUUAAUUAUUUUUAGACGAUAUUACUCUAAUACUAUUUUUCGCAGAGACGACUAACAGCAAAAUACAUAUGCACUUUUACAUUUGCAAAAAGAUAUUAUCAUGAAUAUAUAGUUUGUCACUUUGAAUUAUUUAUCUUUUUCCUUUUCAUUUUUUCUUCAUACUCAUCGUUUAAGAGAAACACGUCGAGAACUAAUAACGUGAACAUGCUGGACAUUUAUUGUGUAUAAAUACACUAUUUGGUAAGUGUAAAUUAGCAACUUAAAUAAUAAAUGUAAUAUUGUAAUAAUAGAAUUCCAUGAUUUUUAUAAAAAGUAUAUAAUUAAGUAAUAAACUGUUUUCAUAAAAUAGUACAGUUUAUUAACACAUUUUAUAAAAUUAUUGUGAAUGAAAUAUUUACGUGUGCUAUAUUAUAUGAAUUUGAUACCAAGAAUUUUAUUGUGUAUAUAACAUAAAAAAAUCUUUCUAUAAUUGCUUUAUUAAUCAGUUGAAAAUAUUAAUGAGCUAUUUAAAUAAAAGAAUUAAUAUUAAAUAAUUUGUGAUAUUAAGGGGGUAUUCUGGUCUAGAAAUUUGAAAAAAUCGAAAAUUUGUUUUUCAUAUUUCCAAAGUUUAGACAUUCAAGAAUAUGCCCUUAAAAGGAUUUUUCAAAAUUUCAAUUAUUUUAUGAGUUACAGCCAUUUUUGUGACGCAGCAUCUGCUUCGAUCCGACCAGAACAAAUGAACAGUAGACGGUAGACGUUGUCCGAAUAAACUUGUCUCAAAACUUUAAACGCGUUUUUCUCGAAACUACUUUUUUCGAGUUGGCGUGCACGAUAUCUCAAGUUCUAAUGAACCGAUUUAUUUUAAAUUUGGUCUGAAUAUUCCUUAUAUACUUCUCUAUCGUCCGGACUACGCUCAGCUCAAAAUCUUUAAUAUUACUAUUUUUUAAAUUAAUAUUACUAUUUUUAAAAUGUUGUAUUGACUUUUCCAAGAUUCAGACGAUAGCGGCAUCCAUACUAAUUAAGAAUCUGUUCACUUUUUUUGUUUCAAAUGACCAGAAGGGUUGAUAUCAUGCACGCCACGACACCCCAUCUUUGGCAGCACCCACUUUGCCAGCUCAUAACUUUUUAAAUAUUAAGUUUUUUCCGGAGAUUCCGAAGACAAAGAUUUCAGAAAAUUAUCAUCGUCGGCGCUGUCAUCAAUCUAGAAAACGCAAUAGGAGUAACGUUCGUUCUGCUAUAUGCUGCGUGCUGAAAAUGGAUUAGUGAUAGAUAGUGGAGCUUUUUGCGUCCACUUUGCAAUCAUUUGCCAAAAGUCUUCUCAAAUACCGCUAAAAAUCGUCUUUUUUCACAUGGAAUCGUGGAAUCGUGGAAUCGUGGAAUCGUGGAACACAAAAUGUCCAAAUAUUGGCUUACUUUGUAAAGUUGAAAACGUUCGUGUGAGGGCGUUGUAUACUACUCGGAAAACUAUGUGGCCGAUAGAAGUACGAAUGUUCAAAUCGUGGAAGUCCUUUAAAUACUGCGCAUUAGUAACUACGCACUGACACGCUGGACAACUAUCUUUUUCCUUUUUCUAUGCAUUCAGUUUUCACUUACUAAAGUAUGUUUGAACAUGCAAUGGUUAAAUUCAUUUAAUAAUACGAGGUUAUCGACAAACGUAAAUUGAUAAUUGGAAAUAUAAGUUCAUUUCGUAUACUUAAAUACGGAACCUAACCCCAGAGGUGGUAAGAAGAGGGUAAAAUUUGUUUUACAGAAUAAUCGUAUUUCUAUGUCCAUUAAAGUUAAUGAUGUGAAAUUCGGCAUAUGAACUCAUUAAAAAUAAACGAACACGUAUUUGACCAGUUUUCAAAAUUAGAUACUUAAAGAGUAUUCAACUAGAGGCUAAUAAAUAUAAUUCAAAUACUGUGCUAGCGAAGCCGCGAGUGGGCAGAUAGUAUAUUAUAUAUGUAUAUAUUGUAAUUAUUUGGGUAUUCGUUAGAUAUAAUAUUAAAUUCUUUUGAAUGCAUAGUUGACACAUCUUGUUUUUACAAAUUGACAUAUCAUUUAAUUUUAAUAAAACAAUUGAUUUUAUAUUGUUUUCAUAUAUUGUUUAUUAUAAAAUGUUGAUGAUGUAAUAAAAGUAGAGGAAGAGAUGCAAAAUUAUUUUUAUUUUUAAUCACUUUUUUAUUAUAGCAGUUGUAAUCUCAUAUAUUGCAUGGAAAUAAAUAGAUUGCAAUGCAGAACAUAUAGAUUUAUUACUUGUAGGUAAAUAUACUUCGAUAGGUGUAAAUUGGCAACUGUUAUAAUAAAUAUAUUAUAAUAAAAAAAUACUAUGACUUGUUUUAAAAAUAUAUGAUUCAGUAAUAGACUGUUUUCAUGAAGUAUGUAGCUUGUUAGCUUCUUAGUAUAUAGCUUGUUAUUUAUUUCAUAAAAUUAUCGUGAAUGAAAUAUUUAUACAUAAUAUUAUAUGAAUGUGAUACUAUACGAAUUUUAUCACGUGUAUUUAACAUAAAAAAGACUACAAUUCUAUCAUUAAUCAGUUUAACAUAUUAGAUGAGUUAUGUAAAUAAAAUAACUGAUUUGAAAUAAUGUGUCUAAAUUAUAAAUUACAAGGAUGAUAAAUCGUAUAAAUAAUAUAAAUAAUAUGCGCAAGUAUCGUCGACAACAUAAUGUUUAUUAUAAAGAAGAUGCUACACCAUUUUUUCUUUGGGAUAUUGUAUGAAAGUGCUUCGGCUUAAAUAGCACACAAUUAUCAAUUGCUCAAUUACAAUUGUAUAAAAAGUGUACAAGAGCGUACAAAAUUUUUACAUUGUUUUUACAGCAUCAAUUACAUUAACGAUUUAUAUAGAAUAACUUACGUGCGACAGUUUAUGAAAAAUUGCGUGUAAGAUUACAUUUACAAGAAAUUGGCUACAUAAGAGAAGUCUACAUGUAAUCCAUAUAGAUAGGAAAUGGAUGUUUCUGAAUGCUGCGCAAUCACAAAAUUAUACAAGAAGUUAAACUGUCACAAAUCGAUAGAAUGCAAAAGGAUUCAAUGAAUUAAAAGCUUCAUCACUGUUUACAAUCAUAUGUAAUAUUUUCUUACCAGUCUAUUUGCAUUUUGUUAUAGUUGCAAUCAAUAUGGAAAAGAAGGUGCAGCCUAAACAUGUAAUGUUCUAAAGGAAACGUAAUUAAAAAAGAUGAAUAAAAAAUUAUUAUAAUUAUA